GACGAACGCUGGUGGCGUGCUUAACACAUGCAAGUCGAACGGGAUUUAGUAAACAGAAGCCUCGGUGGAAGAUUACUAAUGAGAGUGGCGAACGGGUGAGUAACGCGUGAGCAACCUGCCUAUGACAGUGGGAUAGCCUCGGGAAACCGGGAUUAAUACCGCAUAAAAUCGUAGAAACACAUGUUUUAACGGUCAAAGAUUUAUCGGUCAUAGAUGGGCUCGCGUCUGAUUAGCUAGUUGGUGAGAUAACAGCCCACCAAGGCGACGAUCAGUAGCCGGUAUGAGGGGAAGAACGGCAACAUUAGAACUGGGACAAAGCCCAAACCCCCACGGGGGGGAGCAGGGGGGAAUAAUGCAAAAGGGGGGAACCCCUAAUGCAGCGACGCCGGGGAAAAGAAGAGGGUUUUAAUAACGUAAAGUUCUUUCCAAGGGGAAGAUAAUGACAGAACCAAAGAAAAAAGCCCCGGCAAAAUACGG
rnacentral:rRNA from 1 species